rnacentral:snRNA from 1 species
AGAGAAUUGCUUGAGCCCGGGAGGUGGAGGUUGCAAUGAGCAGAGAUCACACCAUUGCAGUCCAGCCUGGGCAACAGAG